UCUCUUUUCAUAAAAUUCCAACUAAAUAAAAAGCUCUGUCUCUACUCCCUAAGAAUUAACAUCACAAUCUAUUUGAAAAUUGGCAUUGCAAGCUUAUUAGUUUUUAGCUGAUAUUUAUUACUUGGGUACAACUUGGGCACAUCGAAGGGCACAAUAUCCAAAUAAGAAUUCUCCAAUAAAAUGAAUCCUCUAAUACAUCUAUUAGCUU
rnacentral:lncRNA from 1 species